rnacentral:rRNA from 1 species
GCCAACGUCCAUACCACGUUGAAUACACCGGUUCUCGUCCGAUCGCCGAAGUUAAGCAACGUCGGGCGCGGUCAGAACUUGGAUGGGUGACCGCCUGGGAACACCGCGUGAUGUUGGCU